CCAGACUCCUACGGGAGGCAGCAGUGGGGAAUAUUGCACAAUGGGGGAAACCCUGAUGCAGCGACGCCGCGUGAGUGAAGAAGUAUUUCGGUAUGUAAAGCUCUAUCAGCAGGGAAGAUAAUGACGGUACCUGACUAAGAAGCUCCGGCUAAAUACGUGCCAGCAGCCGCGGUAAUACGUAUGGAGCAAGCGUUAUCCGGAUUUACUGGGUGUAAAGGGAGCGCAGACGGCAGGGCAAGUCUGAUGUGAAAGUCCGGGGCUCAACCCCGGGACUGCAUUGGAAACUGUGUUGCUGGAGUGCUGGAGAGGCAAGCGGAAUUUCUAGUGUAGCGGUGAAAUGCGUAGAUAUUAGGAAGAACACCAGUGGCGAAGGCGGCUUGCUGGACAGUAACUGACGUUGAGGCUCGAAAGCGUGGGGAGCAAACAGGAUUAGAUACCCUCGUAA
rnacentral:rRNA from 1 species